rfam:Enterobacteriaceae bacterium 9_2_54FAA cont1.25, whole genome shotgun sequence.
CCCCACACAAAGGUGUGGGGUUCUUAUUUCGUCAGCUACGGGGGUCUGCUCGUG